rnacentral:lncRNA from 1 species
GACAGAAGUGAAAUCUCUAAAUUUUAAUAUGUCUGUUAGUAGUAUGGAAUAUAUUCCUGAGGGAGAGAUUUUGGUUAUAACUUAUGGACGAUCUAUUGCUUUUCAUAGUGCAGUAAGUUUGGACCCAAUUAAAUCCUUUGAAGCUCCUGCAACCAUCAAUUCUGCAUCUCUUCAUCCUGAGAAAGAAUUUCUUGUUGCAGGCGGUGAAGAUUUUAAACUUUAUAAGUAUGAUUAUAAUAGUGGAGAAGAAUUAGAAUCCUACAAGGGACACUUUGGUCCUAUUCACUGUGUGAGAUUUAGUCCUGAUGGAGAACUCUAUGCCAGUGGUUCAGAAGAUGGAACAUUGAGACUAUGGCAAACUGUGGUAGGAAAAACGUAUGGCCUUUGGAAAUGUGUGCUUCCUGAAGAUAGUGGUGAGCUGGCAAAGCCAAAGAUUGGUUUUCCAGAGACAACAGAAGAGGAGCUAGAAAUUGCUUCAGAGAAUUCAGAUUGCAUCUUUCCUUCAGCUCCUGAUGUUAAGGCCUGAGCGUCAAUCAUAUGUGCAGUUAGUAUACAACUGACUAAAACAAGCAAGCAGAGAAAAGCAUCAGCCUUCCAGAGUUACUGUCUGCUUAAGGCAGAAACAGCAGUAAAUAAUGAGGAAAAUGAAUUAGCUCCAGUGCUGGAACAACUAACUAACUUGGUGUUACCUGUAAGUGAAAACUCAAGUGUCAGAUGAAGGGAGGUGGAGUUAUCCUCUUAUAGUACAGUGGCCUGUUAUCUUUUUAAUGAAUAUAUACAAGCCAACAUCCAAUUUCUAUUAUUACAAUUAGGGUUCUUGUAGCUGUUUAUGUUAAUAUGGAGAAGAAAACUAUAUUGGCUGAUUUUUUCUGAUCUUAAAGCAGAAUGCCUUUUCUUUUUUUGCUUCAGUUGUAAAGAAGAGGGAAUACAUGAUAAAGUAACUGGUUUGAUUUCUCGUUCAUUGUACACUGCCUCUGAACAUCUAAUUGUUUUUAGUUGUCUAAAUAAAAUGCCUCUAAA